GUUUAUUUCAGCCUGGAAUUUUUUUCCACAAAUGGAUUUUCACUUCUGUUCUGGUUGAAUGAGAAAGGGGCAUAGUGAGGGGAUACACUUAGUCCUCCACUUAUUCCAUCCUGGAAGCCUGGGUUCGAUCGCCAGACUAUAGGAUGUUCCUUCUCAAUUGUAGCUUCCAGAGAGGUAGGAUAAUGAAGUGGAAAGAAAUAUGGCUUGUAAUCAAGGGAGCUGAGUCAAUACCAGCCCUGAUGCUGUAUGAUCCUGGGUGAGAACAUUGGAGCUUGGAGAGAUUAAACAACUAGACUGAGACCUGACAGCUACCACAAUAUCAGAGCUGGGAUUAGACUCUAGGUCCAGUGUAACAAAAUCAGCCAAACAAGCAAGCAUUGGUGAAGCAUCCACAAUUUGCCAGCCACUUUCCCCUAUUAUACCUUGUCUCUAGUUCCAUGAUGGGCCCAUUGAAACUCUUAGUCGGAUCUCAUGCAGGAAUCUGAAGUGUUGAAAGCUCUUUCAACUUAAAACUUCUUUUAUCUUGUCUUCUAAUUCAUUUCUCCAUUAGCAAAACUAAAAUAUUCAUUAA
rnacentral:lncRNA from 1 species